rnacentral:rRNA from 1 species
UUAAUGCUAUCAGGUGGAUGACUAGGCUCUAAAGCCGAUGAAGGACGUGACAAGCAACGCUAUGCUUCGGCGAGGCGCAUGUAGCCAUUGAACCGGAGCUUUCCGAAUGCGACUUCGCUUUUAGAUCCGAAAGGAUAGGGAACACAGGGAAUUGAAACGUCUUAGUACCUGUAGGAAAAGAAACCAAUAGGGAUGCUGUGAGUAAAGGCGAUCGAAAGCAGCAUAAGGCAAACAGACAUGGUGCAGAAAUGUAUCAUGGAUGAAGAGUUUGGACCGCUUUUAAGUCCUCGUUGUGCGACUCAAAGUCUCCUGGAAAGGAGCACCAUAGAGGGUGAUAGUCCCGUAGAGGAAGUGCAAAAGGACCUUAGCGUGUUCCAGAGUAGCGUCUAUUGGAGAUUAGGCGUGAAUGUGGGAGGCAUCAACUUCCAACCUUAAAUACUCUUAGAGUCCGAUAGCAAACGAGUACCGUGAGGGAAAGUUGAAAAGAACUUUUGACCGAGAGUUAAAAGAUCCUGAAACCUGGUAGCUAUGGUUUGAUAGGGCUUUUAGGAGUUCUAUCGUACGUUUCGAAUAACGUGCCAGGGAGUGUAUCUAUGUGGCGAGAAUAAUCUCUUACGGAGAGGAUUCAAAGAGAAAUCAAGUUCCCGCAGCUUUUUUUGCAAGGGGAAGGGUAUGAAAGUGCCUUUUAGUCACGUGGAUACUACCCGAAGCCGAGCGAACUAACCCUGGGUAAGGUGAAGUGUGGGUAAAACCACGCGGAGGCCUGCAGAGGUGCUACGGGCAAGUGCUCUUCUAACCUGGGGCUAGGGGUGAAAAGCCAAUCGAGCUCGGUGAUAGCUGGUUCCUGCCGAAGUUGGCCGCAGUCAAGCCCUAAGCGAGAUAGUUAGAAUGGUAGAGCUACGGAUUGGGAAUUUAGGGGGAGAAAUCCUUCGGUUUCCUGUCCAACUCAGAAUGUUCUAACAUUGUAGACCUUAGGAGACGGGGGCUCGGGGUAAGCUUGAGUCCCGAGAGGGGAACAACCCAGACUAUAGUUAAGGUCCCAAAAUGCUAGCUAAGUGUUAACGGGUGAAGAGUGUUCGUUGCCAUAGACAGCGAGGAGGUUGGCUUAGAAGCAGCCACCCUAUAAUAAGUGCGUAACAGCUUACUCGUCAAGGCCGCGAGCCUCGAAAAUGGACGGGGCUAAGUUAGCUACCGAUACUAUAGAUCUUGCAAAAGAUGGUAGGCAGGCGUUCUGUUAGAGUAGAAGUUUUCUCAAGAGAGGAAAUGCAUCUAGCAGAAAUGAGAAUCCUGGUGAUAGUAGGAUCUUAGCAGAGUGAGAAUCUCUGUCGCUGAAAGGGCAAGGGUUCCUUAACAAUGUCGUUCAGUUAAGGGUAAGUUAAUCCUAACCGCAGUCUUAGCUGACGUUGCGGGAAAGGGAAACAGGUUAAUAUUCCUGUACUACAACAGUAUAUGUGGCAACACAAGCCUUGUUUCUGACGGUUUGGGCUAGACCAACACUACUUGUCUAUAGUGUUAAUCAGAAUAAAUCAAGGGAGUAUCGUUAUGAUGAGAACUUGAUUAAAUCUGAGAAUAGCGUCUCUAUGAGGCGUUUGGUUGAUGCCUUAACCCCAUGAAAAAGGAAUGAGGAUAGAUCUGUUGUAAUUAUACCCAGAACCAGCACAGGUGCCCCUAGGUGAGAAGCCUAAAGCGUCAAGAGUUAAUCCGUUUGAGGGAAUUCGGCAAAUUAGCCUCGUGCCUUCGGCAUAAGGGGUUCCUGCUUUUGUGGGCUUAUGUUUGCGAAAGCAGGACGCAGUGACUAAGGAGGUCCGACUGUUUAACAAAAACUUAACUAACUGCUAGCCUGUAAAGGUUCGUACAGUUGGUGACGUCUGCCCAGUGUCUGUAUCUAAAAGACUGUUACAACGGUCCUAAGGACAGAUAAACGGCGGGAGUAACUAUAACUCUCUUAAGGUAAACACAAAGUUGCCUUAAUAAAAUCUGGCUAUAUGCUGGGAAGCCUCUGUAUCUUACGAUAGGCUACUAUGUUGGCAACAACAUAGCGACCCCUAAAAAUUCGUAAGUGGAGGUAAUCAGCAGGAAAGACUUCUCUAAGAGAAGAAUCCUCAGAGACUAUACGCCAGACACACUUAUCAAAACUCAAAGAAGUGUGAAGAUAUAGUCCGACCCACUAGGCGACUAGUGGAGGUGUGUAGAAAUACACACCCGCCUUCUAACGAAGGUCAGUAUCCUGACUAGUUCAGGAGAAAGUAACAGUUGUGAGCGAAAUGCCUUGCCGUUUGAAUGACGGCCUGCAUGAAUGGCGUAACGAGAUCUCCACUGUCCCCAGACGGAACUCUCCGAAAACUCUUUCCUGGUGCAAAGGCCAGGGAUCUCCAGUGGGAAGUUAAGACCCCGUGAAACUUUACUGUAGCUUGUUGUUGUGGUGUGAGUGUGGUUGUAUAGUGUAGAUGGGAGCUGCUUGAAGUCGUAGUCGCAAGAUUGCGAAUAGGCGUCAAUGUAACACCAUCCUUCUAUGUUUGCAUCGCUAACCGAGGGAAACCUUGGGACAGCAAUAGGUAGACAGUUUGGCUGGGGUGGCACACCGUUGAAAGCAUAUCAAUGGUGCCCAAAGGUUAGCUCAUCCGAGUCAGAAAUUCGGAGUAGAGUGCAAGAGCAAAAGCUAACCUGAUUGGAUCUUGAACAGUAAAAGAUCCAAACGUGAAAGCGUGGUCUAGCGAACCCCUAUAGCUUCUUGAUGAGGCUUAGGGCUGACCGAAAAGUUACUCCGGGGAUAACAGAGUUGUCGCGCCCGAGAGCUCAUACAUUCGCCAUAACUAAGCUCUGAAUAGUUAAGUUAUAGCGAAAAGAGUAUAUCGACGGCGCGGCUUGCUACAUCGAUGUCGGCUCUUCCUAUCCUGGAUGUGCAGCAGCAUCCAAGGGUGUGGGUGUUCACCAAUCAAAAGGGAUCGUGAGCUGGGUUCAGAACGCUGUGAGGCAGUUUGUUUAAUAUCUACUGGAGAUGUUUGAUGUCUGAGGGGAAGGAUCCUUUAGUACGAGAGGAACGAGGAUUCGAAGCCACUGGUCUACCGGUUAUCCGACAGGGUAAGCCGGGCAGCUACGCUUUAAGGGAUAAGUGCUGAAAGCAUCUAAGCACGAAACCCUCCUUAAAAAUAGACAUCAUAGGACU